rnacentral:rRNA from 1 species
GUGAGUAACCUGCCCUUGACUCUGGGAUAAGCGCUGGAAACGGCGUCUAAUACCGGAUACGACCUGCCCCGGCAUCGGGUGCGGGUGGAAAGUUUUUCGGUCAAGGAUGGACUCGCGGCCUAUCAGCUAGUUGGUGAGGUAAUGGCUCACCAAGGCGACGACGGGUAGCCGGCCUGAGAGGGUGACCGGCCACACUGGGACUGAGACACGGCCCAGACUCCUACGGGAGGCAGCAGUGGGGAAUAUUGCACAAUGGGCGAAAGCCCUGAUGCAGCAACGCCGCGUGGGGGAUGACGGCCUUCGGGUUGUAAACCUCUUUUAGUAGGAAGAAAGGCUUCGGCUUGACGGUACCUGCAGAAAAAGCACCGGCUAACUACGUGCCAGCAGCCGCGGUAAUACGUAGGUGCAAGCGUUGUCC